AGUGUCUUAAGGGCGUUCGGUGGAUGCCUUGGCGACAAGAGGCGAUGAAAGACGUGAUACGCUGCGAUAAGCUAUGGGGAGCUGCGAAUAAGCUUUGAUCCAUGGAUUUCUGAAUGGGGCAACCCACUCCGUAUGGAGUACCCGCAAGGGAGCAAACCCGGGGAACUGAAACAUCUAAGUACCCGGAGGAAAGGACAUCAACCGAGACUCCGCUAGUAGUGGCGAGCGAACGCGGACCAGGCCAGUGGCUAUAGAGCAAGAACCGGAACCGUCUGGAAAGUCGGGCCUCAGCGGGUGAUAGCCCCGUACGGGUAGAAAUCUUUAUAGUCCUCGAGUAGGGCGGAACACGUGAAAUUCUGUCUGAACAUGGGGGGACCACCCUCCAAGCCUAAGUACUCCUUGUCGACCGAUAGCGAACAAGUACCGUGAGGGAAAGGUGAAAAGCACCCCGACGAGGGGAGUGAAACAGAUCCUGAAACCGGACGCCUACAAACAGUUGGAGGGCUUCGUGCCUGACAGCGUACCUUUUGUAUAAUGGGUCAGCGACUUAAUUUAACGAGCAAGCUUAAGCCGGUAGGUGUAGGCGCAGCGAAAGCGAGUCUGAAUAGGGCGUUUUAGUUCGUUGGAUUAGACCCGAAACCGAGUGAUCUAGCCAUGGCCAGGUUGAAGGUGCGGUAACACGCACUGGAGGACCGAACCCACGCCUGUUGAAAAAGUCGGGGAUGAGCUGUGGCUAGGGGUGAAAGGCCAAUCAAACUCGGAGAUAGCUGGUUCUCCGCGAAAUCUAUUUAGGUAGAGCGUCGGAUGAAUACUCUCGGGGGUAGAGCACUGGAUGGGCUAUGGGGGCUUACCGCCUUACUGAUCCUAACCAAACUCCGAAUACCGAGAAGUACUAUCCGGCAGACACACAGUGGGUGCUAACGUCCAUUGUGGAGAGGGAAACAACCCUGACCGCCAGUUAAGGUCCCUAAGUUAUGGCUAAGUGGGAAAGGAUGUAGAACUCCCAAAACAACCAGGAUGUUGGCUUAGAAGCAGCCAUCAUUUAAAGAAAGCGUAACAGCUCACUGGUCUAAAUAAGGGGUUCCGCGCCGAAAAUGUACCGGGGCUCAAGCCAUACACCGAAACUGCGGGUGCACACUUUGUGUGCGCGGUAGCGGAGCGUUCUGUAAGUCUGCGAAGGGGGACCCGUGAGGGCUCCUGGAGAUAUCAGAAGUGCGAAUGCUGACAUGAGUAACGAUAAAGGGAGUGAGAGACUCCCUCGCCGAAAGUCCAAGGGUUCCUGCUCAACGCUAAUCGGAGCAGGGUUAGUCGGCCCCUAAGGCGAGGCCGAAAGGCGUAGUCGAUGGGAAACAGGUUAAUAUUCCUGUACUUGGUGGUAGUGACGGAUGCCGUGUGUUGUACUUGCUUAUUGGAUUGCAGGUGCAGCGAAGGUGUUCCAGGAAAUAGCUCCACCGUAUAAACCGUACCCGAAACCGACACAGGUGGACUGGUAGAGAAUACCAAGGCGCUUGAGAGAACUAUGCUGAAGGAACUCGGCAAAAUGCUCCCGUAAGUUCGCGAGAAGGG
rnacentral:rRNA from 1 species